rnacentral:rRNA from 1 species
CUGACGAGUGGCGGACGGGUGAGUAAUGCUUAGGAAUUUGCCCAGUAGUGGGGAACAACCCGAGGAAACUCGGGCUAAUACCGCAUACGCCCUACGGGGGAAAGCGGGGGACCUUCGGGCCUCGUGCUAUUGGAUGAGCCUAAGUCGGAUUAGCUUGUUGGUAGGGUAAAGGCCUACCAAGGCGACGAUCCGUAGCUGGUCUGAGAGGAUGAUCAGCCACACUGGGACUGAGACACGGCCCAG